rnacentral:rRNA from 1 species
UACGUAGGGUGCGAGCGUUGUCCGGAAUUACUGGGCGUAAAGAGCUCGUAGGUGGUUUGUCGCGUUGUCCGUGAAAACUCACAACUCAAUUGUGGGCGUGCGGGCGAUACGGGCAGACUGGAGUGCGGUAGGGGAGAAUGGAAUUCCUGGUGUAGCGGUGGAAUGCGCAGAUAUCGGGAGGAACACCUGUGGCGAAGGCAGCACUCUGGGACGGUA